rnacentral:rRNA from 1 species
CACUCCUACGGGAGGCAGCAGUGGGGAAUUUUGGACAAUGGGCGAAAGCCUGAUCCAGCAAUGCCGCGUGAGUGAAGAAGGCCUUCGGGUUGUAAAGCUCUUUUGUCAGGGAAGAAACGGUGAAAGCUAAUAUCUUUUGCUAAUGACGGUACCUGAAGAAUAAGCACCGGCUAACUACGUGCCAGCAGCCGCGGUAAUACGUAGGGUGCAAGCGUUAAUCGGAAUUACUGGGCGUAAAGCGUGCGCAGGCGGUUUUGUAAGUCUGAUGUGAAAUCCCCGGGCUCAACCUGGGAAUUGCAUUGGAGACUGCAAGGCUAGAAUCUGGCAGAGGGGGGUAGAAUUCCACGUGUAGCAGUGAAAUGCGUAGAUAUGUGGAGGAACACCGAUGGCGAAGGCAGCCCCGUGGGUCAAGAUUGACGCUCAUGCACGAAAGCGUGGGGAGCAAACAGGAUUAGAAACCCUUGUAGUCCCAUGAU